rnacentral:lncRNA from 1 species
UCUCUAUUCCUAUUCAGUCUUCUUUUCAAUUUAUUUAGUGUUGAGUAUGGAGUGGAACUUGAUUCAGGACACUGUGAUGUGGGAAGUUCCAAAGGGAGGAAAAAUAUCUUUGAGGACAAUUUUCUGGGUGGCCUGCAGGAACAAACAAAACAGCUUCCCUUCCUUAUGCAGAGAAUAAACCUCACUAGCUAACCUUCCUACUAUUGGAGCAGCUCACUAAGUAGAAACAAAGCUUGAUGGACUCCUGAUAAACUCUUUGUUGGAACUUUAAUCUCUGGCUGUCUGGGCUUUUA